CUCCCAGGCCCAGGCGCUUUGCAUAAACAAAGAGAGGAGGAGGGACGCCCCGGGCACCGCCCCCGCCCCGCCGGCGCCCCCGCUCCAAUCUGGGACCCCGAGCCAGGCCUGUCCCAAGUCCUCCCGGGCCCGCCAGCCCGCGGCCCCUUACCUUGGCCUGGCAUUUCCGAUGACAGGAGAAGCUGCAGACUGCAAGAGGGCGAGACACAGAAAGAAAGUUUUAGCCGCGAGGCUGGAGUGCAAUGGCGCAAUCUCGGCUCACCACAACCUCCGCCUCCCAGGUUCAAGCAAUUCUCCUGCCUCAGCCUCCCAAGUAGCUGGGAUUACAGGCACGCACCACCAUGCCCGGGUAAGGGGCUGGCUCUCAGCACCAGGACCUGGCACAGCAUCUGACCCAGAGGACAGCUCAGUUCAUGAUUGCCAGAUGGCUGCACGCAGCGCGGAGGAGAGCCCCCUGGGUCUGAAAUAGAGGCUGGAGAGGAGGACUGUGAGUCCAGAGGAGGGAGAGUGAUGGUAUCCCACACACAAGCCAGCGUGUCUAGGACUCCUAUCUGAAGACACUGCAGAGUGAUCAAAGUUAACAUCACUGCAACGGUAAUGGGAUGAUGAAGCCAAGCUGGGAGCAGGGGUGCACUGAGAACAGACGCCGCUUCUGCGGUAUCCCUGCCAGAAAGCCUCAACCUGAACCUAAUCAUGAGGAAACAUCAGGCCAACCCAAACUAAGGGACAACCUACACAUUAAACGUCUUGGAAUCUCCGAAAGUGACAAGGUCAUGAAAAUCAAGGAAAGGCUGAGGAGCUUUCCAGACUGAAGGCAGCAAAAAGACUUGGCAACCGAAAGUAACGGCGGCUUCUGAACCAGAUUCUGUUGAUGCCCACAAGGACAUCACUGGGACCACUGGCGGGACUUCCCUGGGUCUAGACUGAAUGGUAUUAAAGUAUCCAUGUCAAUUUCCUGAUUUUGAUAGCGGGGCUGGUCAGGUAAGAGAGUCCUUGUAGAAAAAUCAGGAAAGU
rnacentral:lncRNA from 10 species